CCUGUAUGCACUGAUUAUCCCUUUGUUCCCUUCCUCUAAUGAUACCUAAAAUUAGAAAACUCUCAAUGUUGUAACCUGAAGCUCUAUCAAACAAAGAGGUGAUUGUAGCUGAGUCUAAGGCUUACCUGCCUGGGCAAGAUGCAGCAUUCUCUGGAGUCCUGAUUCCUUAUCUGCAGUUCACGAGCUGGAGACCUGUCCGGAUGUUGUGCAAGUCAUUGCUACUGGUUGAAUGCCAGUGUGUAGAAUGGGAGAUCCCCUUGUGAAGUUUCUUCCAAGAACUAAAUUCAUUCUUAUCAGAGAAUGUGAAGGUUAACUAAUUAUGUGCUCUAACUUCCAAAAACACAGUCUGGGGGAGUUUAAAGAGCUCUAACACUGAAAUAAAACAAAAUCCUGAUCACCUCAAAUUUGAUGUUUUUAAGGUAAACUGUAUUGAGUCGUCAGCUCCUUUGGAAAAGUGGAUUAUUCUAAAAUGUUGAACAGCUGCCCUAUUUUCAUCACAUGGUCCUAACCAGAAUACAGGAGGAAUUCCAUGAAAAUUAUCCAGGUGUGGGAGAAUAGAAACUGACCUAAAAUAUUGCCUUAGUGCUGGUUGGGGAAGAAAGUUGAUCUUUCCUGAAAAUACUGAAGCAGAUGGGAGCAGUGUGAAUGCCAGAAUAUCCCUGCAAAUUCUCCUAACAUGAAACAGCUUUGGACAGUUCAGGACAUCUGGAGUGAAUAUGAGAGAGGGAAAUGAAAAAUUUCUUGAAUGUACUUAAAGGCUGAAAUAGAAUCACAGUGGCAUAGACAUGCAGAAACCCUGAAUGAAAUACAUGGAUAUGGCAGAAUGCUUAAGAGGAAGUCAGCCUGCUAGAAGCAGAACUAUUUUUAGUCUUCUAAUGAAGAAAGCAGCUGUAUUUGAGAAAACCAGUCACUCACUGCUUGGAAAAAUCAUCUGGAACUCUUUCUGGGUCCUGGUGUUCUUGGUUGCUAGAGGAAAAUCUUAUGUGUAAGCUCUUUUAGCCCUGGAGAACCUUAAAUGGCAGGCAUCUUGGGUUUUGAAGCACAGUUGGGAGCUUCUUGGGAACAGAUUCACAGAUUUCUGUUGGAGCCCAUGGUCACUUUGCGGUAUUCAACCACUCUUGGAAUUAGUGCUUCUUUAGGAGACAGUGAGGAUCUGGCAAAGUCCUCCAAGAUGUACAUUAAACAUAACAUUCUGCCGCCUUUUGUUCUGUGCCGUGCUGCUUGUUAUCCAGUGUUUGUUUCCGUUCUGAGUUUCCCCAGAGCUUUACUGGGGUGCAGCAGCCUCUCCACUUCAUCACAAAACCUCUGUUUUCUUAUUUGUAUAGCGCUUGUGUUAGGUGUGGGAAUGGAAGAGAGCCACUUCAUUUUGCUGUUGUAGUGAAAUUUGAAUUGUGAAAACUCACUGCUCUUAAAGUACCAUCUUUGUACAGAAAAAGCCCAUUUAUAAGGUGCAGUUGUGGUGGUGUAAAAGAAUAUUUUCUGUCUUUUUCUGUCAUGUUGCUGAGUUAAACAGAUGAUCAAAGUGAA